CCCGGGCUGGUCUAAUCGGUUAAGAUGUCGCCCCGGAUGGGCGAAGGUUGCGGGUUCAAUCCCCGCUCCUGGCU
rnacentral:tRNA from 1 species